UGAGGAAUAUUGGUCAAUGGGCGUAAGCCUGAACCAGCCAAGUCGCGUGAGGGAUGAAGGUUCUAUGGAUCGUAAACCUCUUUUAUAAGGGAAUAAAGUGCGGGACGUGUCCCGUUUUGUAUGUACCUUAUGAAUAAGGAUCGGCUAACUCCGUGCCAGCAGCCGCGGUAAUACGGAGGAUCCGAGCGUUAUCCGGAUUUAUUGGGUUUAAAGGGUGCGUAGGCGGCCUUUUAAGUCAGCGGUGAAAGUCUGUGGCUCAACCAUAGAAUUGCCGUUGAAACUGGGGGGCUUGAGUAUGUUUGAGGCAGGCGGAAUGCGUGGUGUAGCGGUGAAAUGCAUAGAUAUCACGCAGAACCCCGAUUGCGAAGGCAGCCUGCCAAGCCAUUACUGACGCUGAUGCACGAAAGCGUGGGGAUCAAACAGG
rnacentral:rRNA from 1 species